CAACAAAUCUCUUAUUUGGGAGUCCUCGAGAAGGCCUAAGAUCAUCUGAUCAACAGCUAAAUAGGAGUCCCCGCGUGAUUUUUGUAACGCUUGAGAACGCCUUAUCACCUUAAUAAGACUGGUGCUGGGCGGAACUUCAUCAGGAGGUGGAGACUGAGAUGGGAGUUUCUUGAGGACUUGAUUGAAAACUCUUUCUGCUGCCUGAGCAGUGUUCUCACCAUCACCGGCAUUGGCAACCGCUUGUCUCAAGAUUCCACUAGGGUCUGAAAUAAGGGCCACAGCAAGAUGUAAUGGGGUUAUCUGGGCAUGACCAGCACCCACUGUCAAUUCGUGAGCUGUUGCAAGAGCCUCGUUGGUCUUGUGUGUGAACUUUCCAGGAUCCAUUGAUUCUUUAACUUCAACGUCCUUUCUUCAAGCGAAGGAAACCAACGACUACGGUUUUGGAACUGAUCAUAAGAGAUAAACAUGACAGCUCAUGUAAGAUUUUUCCAAGAAUAUACAAUAUAGUUGUAGUACAACUACUAGCCACUAGCAGGUAUACUUGCAAUAAGAAUUUAAAAAAAAAAAAAAAAAAAAAACCGUUGCUGUCGCCGUUCGGAAUACGAAAAGCACAGAACAGAAAAGCGCUAAAACUAGAAAAUGAGAUUGAUGGAGAAGGAAAGUGUAAUUCUAAUUUCUGCGCACCUGAUCAGCUAACGAAACGGAUGUCUUUCUUUCAGCUAGCUCCUUGCCCUAAAACUAAAGCUGAAUCUUCGAUUGUUGAAUCUGUUUCCGAAUUGAGUUUGAUCCUCUCUUUUUUGUUCUGCUUGGAGUGAAGCAAAAACGAAGCGAUGGAGGUGUGUUUUGAAGAGACGAGAGAGACAUCUGGAAACGAGUAGAUACGAGGCACUAGAAACUACUAGAAAGAUAUGGAAAAACAUAUGCUCGCUUGCUCUCAUACCACUCCCCUCCCGUCUUGUCCCUACAGUAAUAACUAGUCGUAAAUUUAUCUUUUAAAAAAAAAAAAACCUCUGGCUAGGUUAUUUUCUAAAAAAAUUAAAAAUAUAAAGUAAAAACGUAUUUAAUUAAAUAAAUUAAAAAUUUAUGUAAAUUAAAAAAAAAUUAACAAUAAAAAAAAAAGAAAAAUUAAGAGAUGGAUGUUGGCCAUGCGGUUGCUUUUCAAAGUACUUUUCACUCAGAAAUGUAUUAAAAUAAUAUUUUUUUAAUUUUUAAAAUUUAUUUUUUAUAUCAAUGCAUCAAAAUGAUAUAAAAACAGUAAAAACAUAUUAAUUUGAAGCAAAGAAAAAAAUUAAAAAUAUUAUUUUUUUUCAAAAGUGCUUUUGAAACGCAAAAACAAAUAGAGUUUCGCAAUACAAGUUAUUUGAUACGGGUUAAUCACUCGAUUGUGUGUAGUGAAUUUAUUUAUGAAAAUUAAUCUGUAAUAGAAAUCAACACACACAUAAAAUUUAUUAAAUAAAAGAAUUAUGCAAUGUUGUACAUAUUAAAAAUAUUGCAAACAAAUAUAUGUUUUUAAUUUUAAAUAUAAAUUUAAUCUAUAUAAAAUAUAUAAAAAAAUUAUAGACGAAUCACAGUAACCUCAUAAAAAAUUAAACACGCUCAAUAUAAUAAAAAAAGAAUUUUUAUUUUAAAAAGUAUAAAAAAAUCUAAAAAAAUCACAUAAAAGAGGUGUUAAUCAAAAUAUAAAUUAGAACAUUAUUUUUAAUUAUACAUAUAAAAAGUUGUAAUUUAUAUAUAAAAAAAAAAAAGAAUGACAUGAGGCACUAUAGGCCUAGUAAGUCUGGCCUAGCACCUGGCCCAUGAAGAAAGUUCUCUCGCACGUGAUCCUUGACUUUUUUUUAUCUAAAAUUAAUGGGGAGGAUGACACAUUGUCGGCUUCAUCCUUUGGCAAAAAAUAGAUGAUGCUUCAUAUGAAAUCUUUAAAAUUUGGUUAUUGUGGUGGCUGGAAAAAUAUAAUUAUUGGUUGUUUUCUUCUAAAACUCAUUUUCAACAUAUUUUUAACCUAAAACACAUAAAAAAACACUCUAUAAACCUUGUUAAACAAAUUCAUAACCUCAAAAAACAAAACAAACCGCUUUAAAACCCAAAAAAAUCUUCUUGAGCUCAGAUCACCUUUUUUAUGCACUUUCAAGAUCCAAAGACAUCUAAUUAAAACUCCUCUCAUCAUAUAGAGCUGUUUGGUACAAAAAUCAACUAUUUUGGUUAUUAGAAUCAUUGCAACGAUAAUUUUUUCUCUCUAAAUCAGAAUCCAGUAAAACUCUCUCUCUCUUCUCAUACAUAAAAAGAAUUGAAAAAUGAUGAAAAUAAAAUUUGGUAUCAAAAUUAAUUUUUUUAAAAUUAAAGCAACCGAUCAACUAAUGGAUUAAAAAAAUUAGGGAUCUAAAAUGUACUUUUCAAUUAAAAUUUUAAAAUAAUAGAGCCAUUUUUAAAUUAAAAAACUAAAAAAAGACAACUGAGAUCAACUCUUAAACAUGCAUGCCAACACAAAGGGGAAAAGAAUAAUCAAUCCAAAAGAAUGAAAAUGAUGGCUCUCUCUCAAUGCGGUAUGGACCAUCUAGUUUGAUAAUUAUAAUGUUGAUAUCUUGAUCUUUUAGAAGCUUUUAGAGAAGAAGCUGAGAAGAAAAAGCCAAGAAAGAAAAGGGGAUUGGAGAUAUGCAAAGUCUGUAAAUUUUUCAUUAAUCAUCAAAACUCCCUAACAUUUAGAAAAGUGGGAUAUAAAUACUAAAACCCUAACUAGAACAAGUGUUUGGGCUUAUGGCCCACUAAAUAAAAUACCCAACAAUAAUUAAAUCAAACCCAACAAAUAAAACCAAAUUAAUAAACCUUAACUAAAAGUUCAUAUAAAUUAAACUCAAAAACAUAAGUUAAAGCCCAAUUUCUCAAUGGUUUGGGCUAUCCUUCAUCGUCUAUGAUCAUACGCGUGCGUAAACAAUGUUUCCGGUUCGGUGUCCCCAUCAAUUCUCCCGGGGUUGGAAGAACUCGACCCCGUCGAGUAUAGGUCAAGGCAGCUCCGAUAAUGCUCUCAAAGAUAAGGAUCAAGCUGUUGUGAUAUCUCUCUGAUAAUCCAAGUAUAGUUUGAAUCUGGUCGUCGAGCCCAUAUACUGGGAUUUGCUGAAGUUCACCAUCCCUGGUAAAAACAACAUGUGCAUUCAAAGUAGCAUUAAUAUGUUCCUUUUGUGCCAAAGAUAUGGAUAAUGAGGUAGGGGUAUCAAAAGGAGCAUCAUGGGUAGGCUGUAUUUUAUAAAAACUGAGGUCUUUCAUGUUAAAAGUAGAGCUAAUAUCAAAGUUUAAUGGCAAUUUAAUGAUAUAAUUAUUUGAUUUAAUCAUUUGCAACACUUUGAAUGGUCUAGCACUACUUACUUGCAAUUUAUGAUUGGUUUCCAAAGGACACCGUUCAGGUCUAAUCUGUAUCAUGAAAUAAUCUCCAACAUUAAGUGCAUCAUGAUAUUUAAGUAAAUCAGCUCGAAAUUUGUAUUGUUCAUUACUUGCUUGAAUUUGUUUCAUGAUCUCAAUAUGCAAAUUAUGAACCCUACAUGGUAACGACUCAGCUGACUUAGACAUCCUAUCGUGAGGAGAUAUGGGAAGGUGUUCUAUCGGCUCCUCAGGUUUGUAGCUAUGAACACUAAAUGAUUGAGGGUGUGGAAUGAGACAAACAUUGUCUGAAACUUAUGUAGAUAUGGUAUCGACACAAUCAAGUAACCUAGGAUUAUCUUCAUCUUCCUCAUCACGUGCAUGUGGUAAGGGGUCAAGAAGCUCAACAUGUUGCUCUAAAUUUAUAAUGUGCUGGACACCAAACAUGUGGGAUGAGGAAUCAGGUAAUUCAGGAGGACUAAUAUCAUGAGACUCUUUUAAGACUAUACUUAUCUCUAUAGGUGAUUCCACUGAUGAGUUCCCUAAAAUUUCCUCUACCAUUAAAGCAGACAUAUUAGACUUUUUCUUAACCUCAGUCUCAAGCUCAUGUGGACUCAUUGUGUUAAGUCCCUCUUCUUGCACAUCCUCGUCAUCUAGGUCACUAAAAUCCUCAAGAUUAGGCUCAUACACUUCAACACUACAAUAUUCCUCUUCACCUAGAUCCUUAUAUUUUUGGAUGACUAAAGGUUUAGAGGUACAAUCUAAAGAGAUAUGACCAAAACCUAAACAAUUAAUACACUUAACAUUUGAACUCACCUUAGACACUUCAUUGACAACUCGUUUGCCUUUAUCUUUCUUACAAAGUUGGGCACUACUAGGAUUAGGUCUGUGGGGUGGAGCACCUAACAAAGAAUCAUUACUUCUGAAUUGGGACCUAGUAGGGAUACUAUAAGAGUCCUGACGAUUCUUCCACUGAUUCUUUGUGACCAACUUGUAGUCUUUAACUAAGGUAUAAGCUUGGUCAAGGGUAGAUACACCUUGAAAUACAACUUCUCUUCUAAGAUCAUCAUUUAAGCCUCUACAAAAUCUAUGCAAAGUCAUGGCUUCACUCUCUCUUAUGGCACAUCUAAUCACGUAAUCGUUAAACUGCGUUAUAUACUCAUUAAUAGACUUAGUCCCUUGUCUUAGAUUGUUCCAUUGGUCUAAGAGUUUAUUCCUAUAAGAUUGGGGUAGGUACUUCUCCUGAAGUUUUUUUUUCAUUUUGAUCCAAUCAGUUAUAGGAGGUUUACCUCUCAUCUCUAAACAAUCUUCAACAUCUAUCCAAUAAAUUUUGGCUUCAUCAAUGAGUUUCAUCUUAGCAAAUCUAACCUUUUUAUUAUCAGACAAUUUAAGCCACUCAAAGAAUCUAUCCAUAUCACGAAUCCACAUAUCAAAUAUCCAAGGGUCAUGACGAUCGUCAAAAGUGGGGGCUUCUAUUUUGUUAGGACUCAAGACUCGCUUAUCAAAGUCAUCGUGUUUAGAUAACCUAAAUAAUAGUCAUAUUGGUGGCGCUCAGAGUGAACUUGUCCAUAAUGAGUGUUCUUGUGAUAUUCCUUAGUCUUUGAGUGCCUUAUUCGAAAACUCUCUUGGGGCUCCAUUAUCUUAAACAUAUUGAUCACCUAAGUUUGCAGUUCCCUUUAAAUGGUCAUAAGCAUAUCACUAAAGGAUGAGUCUACCGUAAGUGUAGACUUAAGCUUGGACACUAGAUGAUCAUGACACAAAUGCAUGCAACACUAACUUAUAAAUGGAAUUGAAAUCACAAAUGGUUCUUGCAUGUAAAAUAACAAUACAAAAAUAAAGCUAAUUUUUUUUAUCUUUUUUUUUUAAAUGUGGAAACUAAUCAAGAACAAAUUACACUAAUAAAAUUGUAAGCAUGUAAUACUAGAUUCUUAAGUGUAAAUGAUUAAUCAAACACGAUGUCACAAGCAAGAACUCAUAAUUAUCAAAUAGAAUAGAAUAUUAGCUAUCACUGCUGAAAGAGGUUGAUGAACAAAAAAUAAUAAUAUUCUUUGUUAGGUGAGUUUUUUUUUUUUUUGGAAUUUUCUAGGCACAAAAAUAAUAUUAAUAAUAACUUAAAUGACAAGUGAAAAACCAAGAAAAGUAACUUCAACAAAUAUGAGAGAGUGAUUCACUAACUAGAGUGCUGGGAGGAAGCUGGAGUUUGUUGGAGCUGACGUGGCAAACUAGAUGAAUGGACUGCUGACACGGCAGAUGACAUGGCCAGUUUGCUGACAUGGUGGGUGACGUGGAUGAUCUUGUCUGGCGUGGCAGGGUGGCAUGGCCGAUGACGUGGUAGGGCUAAUUAAUUUUGCCGAGAGUUUUCUUUGGUUUCCUAGUUUCCUUCAUCUGGUUGUCGUCUUCACACAAACCUGCUCUUGGAAAUCAGUCAACAAAUUAAUCCUCGUAACCCGAUACAGGUGAAAGGAUUAAGAUGUUAGUCUGCCAUGGCGAGUCUCUGGGUUGAGUUGAUCUGCUGCUGUGAGAAGCGGUUUGCUGAAGGUGAAUUGAUUUGGCUGCUGUGAGAACUGUUAUAGAUCUUGGUGGCUGUUGAGAGAAGGCGUGGCUGGUGAAGAUGAAUAGCUAUUGCGGGCACUGAAGGUGGUGGUUUGUGGUUCUGAUUUGGCUGCUGAAGGCGAGGACCACCGCGGUCUGUUGAAGAUGGUGGUUGCCACCGGUCAGUUCUACUGCUCUGUCGGUCGCUAAUGGUGGGGGGACGACGAUGGUACUGUGGACAAUCGCUGGCGCUGAAGAGGACGACACUGGCUGAGGCGCUGCCUUUGCUGCUGUAAACCCGAAUCGAUGUUGGCUGUGAUGGGUGUUGUGGGUAGCGGCAUCCGGUUUGAUGAUGGAGACGAUGAACAGUGAUUUUGAACAGUGAACAGUAGGUUUUUCAACAGGGAAUUUUUUUUUUUCAAAUCAAACCGGAUCUAGGGUUUAGUAUAAACAUUAUAGACCGUUUAAUUGUAAGAACAAUUAAAAGCCUUGCUCUGAUAUCAAAUUUGAUGCGGAACAACAAACAAAAGAAUUAAAGCCGAGAAAAGAAAGAAGCUUUUAGAGAAGAAGAUGAGAAGAGAAAGCCAAGAAAGAGAAGAAAGGAGAUUAGAGAUAUGCAAAGUCUGCAAAUUUUUCAUUAAUCAUCAAAACUCCCUAACAUUUAGAAAAGUGGGAUAUAAAUACUAAAACCCUAACUAGAACAAGCGUUUGGGCUUAUGGCCCACUAAAUAAAAUACCCAACAAUAAUUAAAUCAAACCCAACAAAUAAAACCAAAUUAAUAAACCUUAACUAAAAGUUCAUAUAAAUUAAACCCAAAAACAUAAGUUAAAGCCCAAUUUCUCAAUGGUUUGGGUUAUCCUUCAUCGUCUAUAAUCAUACGCGUGCGUAAACAAUGUUUCCGGUUCGGUGUCCCCAUCAUGGACCAUCUAGUUUGAUAAUGAUAAUGUUGACAUCUUGAUCUUUUAAUCAGCCUUUCAAAUACAACUCAUAAAGAAUAUUAAAGCUAAUCUACAAUCAAGAAAUUAUCAUACUGAAAAAAUCUUAAAAAAAAAAACAUAUUGUAAGAAUAGUAAAAACUUGAUUUAUGAUCCAUUGAACACUUUAAAUGCUCUGACUUCUUAAACUAUACAAAUACUAUAAAAAAAGACUCCACAAGAAAGACAUGCAUUAAAGUGAGAACUUUCUAAUCACAUGUAAAUAGCUCUCAUCAUAUACAAAACAACAAUAUCACCUUAUAAAACUAUAAAUAAGAGCUUUUUUUCUAAAAUUAACAAACAAAUGACGAGAAGGUAGCUAGAAAUUGUCGUGUGCUCAAGAUGUAAUUAAUAAUAUCUUAUAAUAAGAGAGGGGAUCAUUUAUUAAUCUCAACAAAUCAUUUUUAGUGGUAAAAUGAAAAGAAAGAAAAAAAAAUAUUGAAUUAAAUUCAAUUAUAGCUCUAAUAAAUUCGAUUAUCUUGAUUUUAUUCAAGCUUCACGAUAAGAAAAAAGCUUCUAGGUGGUUUGACUAAUCACUCUUGCCAUUAUAAGUGUUGGGAUAAAAGAAAAAAGGUAGAAAGAGAGUACAGAAAAUCAAGACAAACAAAGCACAAAGCCCUGGUAAAUACUUACUUAAAAAUACAUUUAUCUUGAAAAAAUAUCAACACACCAAAUUCCCAAGUACCAAAAGUGACGUUUAAAUUCUGAAGCAGAGGCUUCAGAAAAUCAAGACAUGGAGGUAGCACUCUUGAUUAUAUACUAUAACUUGAACUCCAUGUUCAAGCAAACAAGUUAUUUAAGAGACUUGAAACAUGGGAAGGUAGUGAAAAAAAUAGAGCCGACUUCAGAAACCACCAGCAAUUCACUCAAUCAUCUCGUCGUCGUCGUCGUUGUCGACAAUCUCUUGAAUUUUCAUCUUUUUCACUUUCUGGGCAGCAUCAUCCCUUGGGGCUUUUGGAAUUUGAAUCAAAACAUCAGUCUUCUGCCCAGUGGUUGCAUUGACGAGCCCGCCAUUCUUCUCCACACGAUAAACCAAGUCCUGUCCAUCUGGGCCUGCAUCUAUGUACACAGUAGAGUUCUCAUCAAUCUCUUCUCUCACGAGCAUUCUCGAUAGCUCUGUAACCACCUUCCUCUCCAGCCAUCUCCUUAUGGGUCGUGCACCAUAGACCUAAAACAAGAGAUAGACGACGUGAGUUCCUUCAUCAAAACAGAGUACAUAACAAGUGACAGAAUAUGGUGUCAGAACACUCACGGGAUCAUAGCUUUCUGCCAAAAUAUAAUCCAGGGCAGCAUCUGUAACAGCCAAAGCAAUACCCCUCUCAGCAAGCCGGCUAGCAACGUCCUUCAUUUGUAACCUUGCAACCUUUCUCAGUUGGUCGUGAGAGAGUGGAUCAAAAACCACUAUCUCAUCAAGCCGAUUUAGUAACUCAGGCCUGAACUGCUUUCUCACCUGUCAGAAAAAUCAACAAUUGACAGCAAGUUAUUAUCUCAACUUCCUUCAAGCAACAAGCGUAUAACAAAACCCAUCAAGACUGCAUGACCGAAUUUAUAGAGCAUUAAGCUUACCUCUUGCAUCACUCUGUCUCGAGCAACUUGCAUGGAACACUUGCCCAGCAGUCCAGACAGAAGGUGCUCCGCUCCAAGGUUGGAAGUCAUGAUAAUCACUGUGUUUCUGAAAUCUACAGUGCGGCCUUGACCAUCUGUUAACCUUCCAUCAUCAAGAACUUGAAGAAGAGUAUUAAAGACAGAAAUGUGAGCUUUCUCCACUUCAUCAAACAGCACAACGCUAUAAGGCCUCCGCCUCACGGCCUCUGUCAGCUGCCCACCUUCCUCAUGUCCCACAUACCUGAAAUACAAACACACGGGUGAGAUCUUUUAUUCAUGCAACCUUAUAGAAUAGAGAAAAAGAAAUAGAUGAAAAGUAAGUACUUACCCAGGAGGAGCACCAAUAAGUCGAGAUACUGAGUGUUGCUCCAUGUACUCUGACAUAUCGAUCCUCACUAGUUGGUUUUCAUUAUCAAAGAGCUGUUCAGCAAGAGUCUUGGCAAGCUCAGUCUUGCCAACACCAGUUGGACCCAAGAAUAGGAAUGAGCCAGUCGGCUGUUGAGGCCUGCCUAAACCAGCCCUAGACCUCAGCACAGCCUCUGCAACAGCAUUGACCGCUUGGUCCUGUCCUACCACUCUAUGAUGCAACCUGUCUGCAAGCCCGAUUAGCCUCUCCUUCUCAUUCUGGCCAAGCCUUGUGACAGGAAUGCCAGUCCACCGACUCACUACUUCUGCAAUGUGUUCUGGUCCAACAGUUUCUGUCAGCAUCAAGUUCUCGUCAGUGGUUGAUCCUUCAAGACGUGCUAUGGCAGCUUCCACUUCCUCCAGCGCCCCAUAGCGCAAAUCAGCAACUCUGGCUAAAUCAUAUCUUCUUUCAGCCUCUUGUAUGGAGAAAUGUAUCUCCUCUCUCUUCUGCUUGAGCCGCCUGAUCUCAUCAAUCCUUUCUUUCUCCUUUUUGUAUUUCAUCAACAAGGGCUGAAGCUUGUCUCUCAAGUCGUCAAGUUCUUUUACGACCUGAAACAGUGUCAAUAUUGUCAGAUUUACCAUGAGAGAGAUAUAAAGCAGCACAUAAUUGAUUUCCAGAUCUUCUUUUAAGCUGCGAUUCUUACUUCAGCCAGUCGAGCUUUGCUAGCUUUAUCCUUCUCCUUCUCAAGAGCAUGAAGUUCAACUUCUAGUUGCAUUCUCUUCCUUUCAAGGCUAUCAAUUUCUUCAGGCUGGCUAUCAAGUUGGACUCUCACAUUUGCACAAGCUUCAUCGACUAAAUCAAUUGCCUUAUCAGGCAGAUGACGACCUGAACACAUCAACCGAAAAGACCAGCAUUUAUUAUCCCGCCAAAUGAUCCCAAUAUAUCAAUCAAUUAUGCAUGAAAAUAUACUACCCUUCAAUAAAAUCACCAAUUCCAAAAUUACUGGUGCAUGUUAAAACCUGAAAGUAGAAUUGAACUGUUAAAACGUACCUGUAAUGUAUCGACUUGAUAAUUGAGCUGCAACCACAAGGGCUCUGUCCUGAAUUCGAACACCAUGAUGACCCUCAUACUUCUCUUUCAAUCCUCGAAGAAUGCUUAUUGUGUCUGGAACACUAGGCUCCGCCACAUAGACUUGUUGGAACCUCCUCUCAAACGCAGCAUCUUUCUCCACAUACUUCCUGUACUCUUCCAGGGUUGUGGCACCAAUGCACCUGAGCUGACCUCUUGCAAGCAUUGGCUUAAAAAGGUUAGCAGCGUCCAUGGACCCCUCUGUUCGACCCGCGCCUAGAACAAGAUGAAUUUCAUCAAUGAACAGAAUCACCUUCCCCUCAGCUUCCUCCACUUCUUUCAACACGGCCUUUAACCUCUCCUCAAAUUCCCCUCUAUAUUUUGCGCCGGCAACAAGGGCACCCAUAUCCAAGGCAAUGAGCCUGACAUCAGCAAGAUUACUUGGAACAUCCCCUCUCACAAUCCUUUGGGCCAAACCUUCAGCAACUGCGGUUUUGCCAACUCCUGGCUCUCCAAUAAGGACAGGGUUGUUCUUCGUUCUCCGAGACAGAAUCCUGACAACCCUCCUGAUCUCCUCAUCUCUUCCAAUAACAGGAUCAAGCUUUCCCGCACCUUCCACAAGAUCUCUCCCAUAAGUCUUCAAUGCCUGAAAAUUAGUAUCCCCGGAAGCAUUCUCCACCUUCUUCCCUUCCUUUCCUCGGAGUUUCUCUACCUCCGAUUUCACUGUGGAAGCGGAAACUCCGACUUCUUUCAACAAAUCUCUUAUUUGGGAGUCCUCGAGAAGGCCUAAGAUCAUCUGAUCAACAGCUAAAUAGGAGUCCCCGCGUGAUUUUUGUAACGCUUGAGAACGCCUUAUCACCUUAAUAAGACUGGUGCUGGGCGGAACUUCUUCAGGAGGUGGAGACUGAGAUGGGAGUUUCUUGAGGACUUGAUUGAAAACUCUUUCUGCUGCCUGAGCAGUGUUCUCACCAUCACCGGCAUUGGCAACCGCUUGUCUCAAGAUUCCACUAGGGUCUGAAAUAAGGGCCACAGCAAGAUGUAAUGGG
rnacentral:lncRNA from 1 species